rnacentral:rRNA from 1 species
UCCGGAGAGGGAGCCUGAGAAACGGCUACCACAUCUAAGGAAGGCAGCAGGCGCGUAAAUUACCCAAUCCUGACUCAGGGAGGUAGUGACAAGAAAUAACGGACCGCGCCUCCGGGCGACGGGACUGCAAUGAGCCGAAUUUACACCCCUUAGCGAGGACCAAUUGGAGGGCAAGUCUGGUGCCAGCAGCCGCGGUAAUUCCAGCUCCAAUAGCGUAUAUUAAAGUUGUUGCAGUUAAAACGCUCGUAGUCGGAUUUCGGGGCAGGUUUGCCGGUCUGCCGAUGGGUAUGCACUGGUAGAACUGUCCUUCCUUCCGGAGACGGCGCCUACUCUUAACUGAGCGGGUGUCGGAGACGGAUCGUUUACUUUGAAAAAAUCAGAGUGUUUCAAGCAGGCAGCUCGCUUUUGCAUGGAUUAGCAUGGGAUAAUGAAAUAGGACUUUGGUGCUAUUUUGUUGGUUUCGAACACCGAAGUAAUGAUUAACAGGGACAGUCAGGGGCACUCGUAUUCCGCCGAGAGAGGUGAAAUUCUUAGACCAGCGGAAGACGAACCACUGCGAAAGCAUUUGCCAGGGAUGUUUUCACUGAUCAAGAACGAAAGUUAGGGGAUCGAAGACGAUCAGAUACCGUCGUAGUCUUAACCAUAAACCAUGCCGACUAGGGAUUGGAGGAUGUUCCUAUGUGACUCCUUCAGCACCUUUCGGGAAACUAAAGUCUUUGGGUUCCGGGGGGAGUAUGGUCGCAAGGCUGAAACUUAAAGGAAUUGACGGAAGGGCACCACCAGGAGUGGAGCCUGCGGCUUAAUUUGAC